rnacentral:rRNA from 1 species
UACAGAGACUGCAAGCGUUAUUCGGAUUCACUGGGCGUAAAGGGUGCGCAGGCGGCCAAGUGUGUCAGGGGUGAAAUCCCAGAGCUCAACUCUGGAACUGCCUUUGAUACUGGGUAUCUUGAGUAUGGAAGAGGUAAGUGGAAUUGCGAGUGUAGAGGUGAAAUUCGUAGAUAUUCGCAAGAACACCAGUGGCGAAGGCGGCUCACUGGCCCGAUACUGACGCUGAUGCACGAAAGCGUGGGGAGCAAACAGG